AUAGUUUUAUAAUUUUACGAGCUUUUCUUUUUAGCUUUUAUAACAAAAAAAGAAUUGUUAACCGUGCAAAAGUCCAGCACCAAAAAUGUUUCCGGCAACUAGAACUGAGUCUACAAUGACUAAUAAUACAACUGUGAACACAACAUCGAACCUGCAUAGGUUUAACAUAUUGACAUACAGUGCGUCCACCCAGACAAGCUCCACACGGCCUUCACCAGUAGUGGCUACAUUGACCAGAGUUGAAGACGCAUCGACAGGAGCUCCAUCAAUGGACGGGUUGACCUCGCUCUUUACAGACCUAAACAUACUGACAGCCGGAAAAUCGACAAGAACAACAAGUACAUCAACUUAAUAACUUUCAAAACUACCGCGGUGCCACCACAAUGCAUUUCCUGGCAGCACAACUAAUCUAGCUGAAGGCUCACACAUAUCGAGGCCAAAAGCAUCGCCACAAGCUUCAAUAUCAUGGCAAGAAUCUGUGUUCGCCAUGGAUGUGCUGUACACAGCAAUUGUUAUGUCAGAGCCAGAGUCGAAUACAAAAGCUGCUGUAUGGCGCAGGAAGCUGACUGCUGCUAGCAUCAACACAACCCAAAAACAUGGCACCUUCAGGCUUUAUAACUAGACUUUAACCUAUACAACCCAAUGCAUUGUCGUGGACCGAAGAAGAGGCAACAAAUAAUAAGAACGCGGAGAACAGCAGUCCGAAACGAAAAAAUGAGGAAACACUGAAGUAUAGAAAUGAAGAUAGAAUAUAAAGUCCGAUUUAUUAUAGCUUGCCCACAUUCUUAUAAAACCCAACCCGAAAUUCAUUUUGGUGAAGAUUAUAACUCGGAAGAAAAAUAUUCGCAUCAACAUUAACAAAGGUUUUCAACGAAUAAGCGGAAUCGGAAUGCAAUUGUAUAACUUCAUGAGCUUCUCCUUCAUAUAUCAGCACCAUAUCCAAAAGAUCUUUUUAUACAAUUGC